rnacentral:tRNA from 1 species
UCGGCCAGCACGAUGUUGGCAAAGAUCGGUCCUUUUCUGGUGGAGAAGUGGCCAUCGCGGGGGUUGUAGAUCUGGGUCCCGACCAGGUCGGCCGGG